rnacentral:rRNA from 1 species
UGCAAGCGUAUACCAAAGUUGUUGCAGUUAAAACGCUCGUAGUCGGAAUUUGGCAGUUCCGGAUGUGUGCACGUCGUGUGCGCACUUCGCGGGGAUUGCUUUUGUGGUCUUGCGUAGGAUGAGGCACUUUUAUUAGUGAACGUCCUCACGCAACCACUUUUUACUGUGAGAAAAUCAGAGUGCUCAAAGCAGGCAUUUGCCGUGAAUGUAUUAGCAUGGAAUAAUAGAAUAGGACUUGGUUCUAUUUUGUUGGUUUGUUGGGACCGAGUAAUGAUUAAGAGGGACAGUUGGGGGCAUUUGUAUUUCGGUGCUAGAGGUGAAAUUCUUAGAUUACCGAAAGACAAACUGCUGCGAAAGCGUCUGCCAAGGAUGUUUUCAUUGA